GCAAGUCGAGCGAGAAUUGUUGGAACAAGCCUUCGGGUGAGGGAAGACGAGGAAAGCGGCGGACGGGUGAGUAACGCGUGGGAAACCUGCCCUAUACACAGGGAUAGCCAUUGGAAACGAUGAUUAAUACCUGAUAAGACCACAGCAUCACAUGUUGCAGUGGUAAAAACUCCGGUGGUAUAGGAUGGUCCCGCGUCUGAUUAGCUAGUUGGUAAGGUAACGGCUUACCAAGGCGACGAUCAGUAGCCGGCCUGAGAGGGUGAACGGCCACACUGGAACUGAGACACGGUCCAGACUCCUACGGGAGGCAGCAGUGGGGGAUAUUGCACAAUGGGGGAAACCCUGAUGCAGCGAUGCCGCGUGAGUGAUGAAGGCUUUCGAGUCGUAAAGUUCUGUUCUUAGGGAAGAUAAUGACGGUACCUAAGAAGAAAGUCCCGGCUAAAUACGUGCCAGCAGCCGCGGUAAUACGUAUGGGGCAAGCGUUAUCCGGAAUUAUUGGGCGUAAAGAGUUCGUAGGCGGUUCUUUAAGUCAGAAGUGAAAGGCAGUGGCUCAACCAUUGUAAGCUUUUGAAACUGGGGAACUUGAGUGUUGGAGAGGAAAGCGGAAUUCCUAGUGUAGCGGUGAAAUGCGUAGAUAUUAGGAGGAACACCAGUGGCGAAGGCGGCUUUCUGGACAAAUACUGACGCUGAGGAACGAAAGCGUGGGGAGCGANCAGGAUUANAUACCCUGGUAGUCCCGCCGUAACGAUGANUGCUAGGUGUUGGGGUAGCGAUACCUCAGUCCGCAGCUAACGCAUUAAGCNCUCCGCCUGGGGAGUACGGUCGCAAGAC
rnacentral:rRNA from 1 species